UACAGAGGGUGCGAGCGUUGUUCGGAAUUAUUGGGCGUAAAGCGCUUGUAGGCGGCCCUUCGAGUCUCGUGUGAAAUCCCUUGGCUCAACCAAGGAAGUGCACGAGAUACUAGAGGGCUGGAGUGCCGGAGAGGGUCGCGGAAUUCCCGGUGUAGAGGUGAAAUUCGUAGAUAUCGGGAGGAACACCAGUGGCGAAGGCGGCGACCUGGACGGACACUGACGCUGAGACGCGAAAGCGUGGGGAG
rnacentral:rRNA from 1 species